AGAGUUUGAUCCUGGCUCAGAUUGAACGCUGGCGGCAGGCCUAACACAUGCAAGUCGAGCGGUAGAGAGAAGCUUGCUUCUCUUGAGAGCGGCGGACGGGUGAGUAAUGCCUAGGAAUCUGCCUGGUAGUGGGGGAUAACGUUCGGAAACGGACGCUAAUACCGCAUACGUCCUACGGGAGAAUGCAGGGGACCUUUGGGCCUUGCGCUAUCAGAUGAGCCUAGGUCGGAUUAGCUAGUUGGUGGGGUAAUGGCUCACCAAGGCGACGAUCCGUAACUGGUCUGAGAGGAUGAUCAGUCACACUGGAACUGAGACACGGUCCAGACUCCUACGGGAGGCAGCAGUGGGGAAUAUUGGACAAUGGGCGAAAGCCUGAUCCAGCCAUGCCGCGUGUGUGAAGAAGGUCUUCGGAUUGUAAAGCACUUUAAGUUGGGAGGAAGGGCAGUUACCUAAUACGUAAUUGUUUUGACGUUACCGACAGAAUAAGCACCGGCUAACUCUGUGCCAGCAGCCGCGGUAAUACAGAGGGUGCAAGCGUUAAUCGGAAUUACUGGGCGUAAAGCGCGCGUAGGUGGUUUGUUAAGUUGGAUGUGAAAUCCCCGGGCCCAACCUGGGAACUGCAUUCAAAACUGACUGACUAGAGUAUGGUAGAGGGUGGUGGAAUUUCCUGUGUAGCGGUGAAAUGCG
rnacentral:rRNA from 1 species